rnacentral:rRNA from 1 species
AGCGAACGCUGGCGGCAGGCCUAACACAUGCAAGUCGAGCGCCCCGCAAGGGGAGCGGCAGACGGGAGAGUAACACGUGGGAACGUACCCUUCGGUUCGGAACAACCCAGGGAAACUUGGGCUAAUACCGGAUACGUCCGAAAGGAGAAAGAUUUAUCGCCGAGGGAUCGGCCCGCGUCUGAUUAGCUAGUUGGUGGAGUAACGGCCCACCAAGGCGACGAUCAGUAGCUGGUCUGAGAGGAUGAUCAGCCUCACUGGGACUGAGACACGGCCCAGACUCCUACGGGAGGCAGCAGUGGGGAAUAUUGGACAAUGGGCGCAAGCCUGAUCCAGCCAUGCCGCGUGGGUGAUGAAGGCCCUAGGGUUGUAAAGCCCUUCCGGCGGGGAAGAUAAUGACGGUACCCGCAGAAGAAGCCCCGGCUAACUUCGUGCCAGCCGCCGCUGUAA